rnacentral:rRNA from 1 species
AUGAACGCUGGCGGCGUGCCUAAUCCAUGCAAGUCGAGCGAACAGAUGAGGAGCUUGCUCCUCUGACGUUAGCGGCGGACGGGUGAGUAACACGUGGAUAACCUACCUAUAAGACUGGGAUAACUUCGGGAAACCGGAGCUAAUACCGGAUAAUAUAUUGAACCGCAUGGUUCAAUAGUGAAAGACGGUUUUGCUUUCACUUAUAGAUGGAUCCGCGCCGCAUUAGCUAGUUGGUAAGGUAACGGCUUACCAAGGCGACGAUGCGUAGCCGACCUGAGAGGGUGAUCGGCCACACUGGAACUGAGACACGGUCCAGACUCCUACGGGAGGCAGCAGUAGGGAAUCUUCCGCAAUGGGCGAAAGCCUGACGGAGCAACGCCGCGUGAGUGAUGAAGGUCUUCGGAUCGUAAAACUCUGUUAUUAGGGAAGAACAAAUGUGUAAGUAACUAUGCACGUCUUGACGGUACCUAAUCAGAAAGCCACGGCUAACUACGUG